GUUGGAUACAUGUCAGCCACGUGAAUAGGUAAAGUUUGGCAUUCUAGGUUACAUGAUGUGGUUUUCAUCUGUAAUGUUAUCACUGCAUCCUUCUUGGCUGUAGUCUGAUGUAGAAGUAAGAAAUCUCAUAAAAUUCCGAGGACACAGAUUCUUUGAUUUAAGCAAAUUUAUUGACCUGUGUCUUUGCCAGAAGAAAUGAUCACUCAGAGAGCCACGUGGGGCUCUGGCACCUUAUUGUCUGUUCUGACUUUUAGUUUCGACCCUCUAAAAGGCACGUACGCACAUUCCAAAGACUAGAUUGUUUCCU